UUGGCGUCCUUUUUAACGCCGCUCCGAUCUAUUUCACUUGUUUCCCGUAAAGGAUGCCUUCAACAUCACAUGUUCCCCAAAAUUCUUGUGUGCCCAUUCCAGUUUGAAGAUGGUAACGAAGGUGACGCAGUGUAACCACAAUCAGUGAUCAAUAAAUAAAAAGAAUUUGGCCAAGUUGUCCCACCAUCAACCAGCAUAUUCCUCCUCUUGCGAGCGGCGUUCUUGCAAGGUAAACAGGAAUCCUAUGGCAAUAAGCGGUGCUUGAAGACAAUACCACAGGUUCAUCCACAAAACCAGAACGCCUGAGGUGAUGCACAACUCUCCAGUGGAAUGUGACUGACACUGACACAUCUUGCUCACGCCGGAAGCAACGUCCGCAUGGUUUCAAGUACAGAAGAAGGCGAAGAGGAAGAAGAAGCUGGCGCAGCGAACUUUUUGUGGAUGGACUGACGCGGGUAACGGAGGAGGAAAAAUUUAUUUAUCCAAAACGGUACUCAAACACAAAUGGGUUGUAAAUUAUCCUUCACUGUGAUUCGCUCACGUGUGUCUGUUUACACAGGGCCGAGGUUUCGUUCGUGUAGGCUACAGGAAAAGCUCGGGAAUUCUGCACUUUGGGGAACUUGGAGGUGGACAAUUGCAGUUGGGGGUGGAUUGAUUAUGUACCAAAAGGUGAUGUACAUGUGAUGGAGUUUUGAGAGGGGUUUGAUAUCGCUCGGCCACCUUUCCAACUUCUUCCACCAAUGUUAAUCCACAACGAGGUCACGAUGGCAACAUCCUCCAUGUGAGCACGUGGGGAGGCUCCUCUUUCAUCCCUUCUUCUACGCUGUGCCGUGUUGUGUACAUUCCUCGUCCUGCCAUCUUCUUCGGACGCUCUCACUCUCACAUCCACACUACCAGCAGAAAUUCGCUAGGAUUAUAGCACAUUCCAAACUCAGAUAGUGGAGACAAAGUGAGAUGCUUGUUACAAAAGUCUUCCUGGUCGUGCAUUGACCGAAGAUCAAUGAUUGGAACAGCCAUUCCCCGAGGCUUCUGUAACUUC